rnacentral:rRNA from 1 species
AUGUUCCAUGAGUAUGACGCAGAAGAAAUCUGCAAAAUAAGGAUCCCGACAAGUAAUGUGAAGGACUGUAUAGCAUGGCAUGGGGAAAGGUCAGGCGUCUUCUCUGUGCGUAGUGCGUAUAAGAUUGGUGCAAACCUUAAAUACCACGGCGACCUAAACGCGUCCAGCUCAGCUAAUGAUGCGGAUAACAGAAGUAUAUGGGACCUAAUAUGGAAAACAAAGGUCCCUGGAAAGGUUAGGAUCUUUGCGUGGCGAGUUGCGACAGAAACACUCCCUACGAAGGAAAAUAAAUGGAAGAGGACACUGGAGGUGGAUAAUAUAUGCAGCAUUUGUGGCAGAGAGAAGGAGGAUGAGUUCCAUGCGACAAUAAAUUGCACAAAAGCAAGAGCACUAAGAGAAGAGAUGAGGGAGCACUGGAACCUACUUGCAGAAAACUGUUUUCGCUUUUCAGGCAAGGAUUGGCUACAAAACCUGCUGGGGAAGGGAGACAUGGAGGAGAGGAAAAGGAUCCUCCUUCUACUGUGGAGAGCUUGGUGGCUGCGAGAUAACUGUGUCCAUGUUGACGGCAGGGCUACAAUUGGC